UGAACGCUGGCGGCGUGCCUUAUACAUGCAAGUCGAGUGGGUUUAGACCCACGGCAAACGGGUGAGUAACACGUAGGUACUUUCCUUGUCACAGGAAUAACCCUCCGAAAGGAGGGCUAAUACCCGAUGUGAUCGCAAGAUUAAAGGGUAUCCGCAAGGAUUACCGGACAAGAAGAGGCCUGCGGCCUAUCAGCUAGUUGGCGGGGUAAAUGCCCACCAAGGCUAUGACGGGUAGCUGGUCUUAUGAGGAUGAUCAGUCACAUGGGCACUGAGACACGGGCCCAACUCCUACGGGAGGCAGCAGUAGGGAAUUUUGCGCAAUGGGCGAAAGCCUGACGCAGCGACGCCGCGUGCGGGAUGAAGGCCUUCGGGUCGUAAACCGCUUUUAUAAGGGACGAACUUUGACGGUACCUUAUGAAUAAGAGGUUGCUAACUCUGUG
rnacentral:rRNA from 1 species